CAUGAGUGACAGUUAAAUGGAGGAUAAGUUGUAACUUUGUCUCUGGAGGAAUAGGGCUGGAGGUAUAGUUCCCCCUCCGGGAUGGGGAAACUUGAGAGUAGUGGAAUGUUCUUUGUCUCUGUCCGUAUUUAAGGAAGGGCUGUUUCUUUUCCUUUAGCGAUCACACAGCGGUGCCUAUACUGGAUGCUCUCUCUCAUGCACAUGAUGAUAAUAAUCUUCCUUCCCUCUCGUCCUGUCUGUGUACAAAGUGAUCAGUUCCCUCCACUUGUAUCCUCAAAACUCUGGGAAUACAACAAGCAACUGUGUCCAUUGAGGCUCAGCUCCUCUGUUAAGUAGCCCCUCAGAUGCGGCUGAUCAGCAACAGCUGAGUGCCAUUAUCUUACAGGUGUGGCUGUUUUAAUGGCGGGUAACUCUCAGAGACACCCCCCUGGAAAGCCCUGAAGACUGCUGAACGCACACACUCCAUUCCCCUUAGUGGAAAUGAGAGAUAGGGAGAGAAACACCAAAAAACCAAAAUGGCGUCGGGGUAAUGCUGCCAUGACAAACAGGCAGCGUGCUGCCAUUUCAUAGGCUCUCAGACCUCUCCGAAAAUGUCGAAACUGGUCUGCACUGGUCACAUCCUACCCGACCUCGACCUCACAUCUCAGAAGGAAGGACACUGGAAGACAGUCGGCAAUUUGGCACUGUCAGGGAGGUUCAGUGACAAAAACCUAAGGGCUAGAAACUACAAAAAUACUAAAGAAUAACUAAGGGAACUAGAAAUACAAAGAUAAAACCAUGAAAAAGUACAAAAUCACAGAACAUUAAAUAAUCAAAAACAUAAACACUGGGUCACUGGACCCAGGACCAUGGCAGGCUCAUUAUAACGUGAGUUCCACCUGCUGCACGUGCCCAUAUCAGCACUGUGACGUUUCCCCUUUCUCUUCCUCCAGAUGAGUGUUUUAAUGCCAACUAUUUCCUGUCAUUUCCUGAUGGUUUAAUGGCUGUUUGUAAAGAUGAGGUUAAUUAUAAGCAAGCACACCGAUGCUGCACCUCCCACUGCUGCUGCCGGGAUCCCGUCCGAACAUGGUUUAAUUGAGCUCCAUGGACUGAAACUGUUCUCGCUGCAUCCCAAAAGGCUGAGUCUGUUCAUCUGUUUUCCACUCAUCCAAGUGACUUCAUCAGCCUCAGCUGACUGCAGGUUUCCCCAGCCUCAUCAACGAACAGCAAAAAAAACCCCCAAAACCCAGCAACAUCAGACAGUCCUGUGUUACCUACAAAAAAAUGCCCUCUGCAUGGAUAACACUUUCCACCUGGUGAGACUGGCAGAUGAAAUGAAGUUGAAGCGAGGCAG
ensembl:lncRNA